rnacentral:rRNA from 1 species
CUACGUGCCAGCAGCCGCGGCAAUACGGAAGGUCCGGGCGUUAUCCGGAUUUAUUGGGUUUAAAGGGAGCGUAGGCUGGAGAUUAAGUGUGUUGUGAAAUGUAGACGCUCAACGUCUGACUUGCAGCGCAUACUGGUUUCCUUGAGUACGCACAACGUUGGCGGAAUUCGUCGUGUAGCGGUGAAAUGCUUAGAUAUGACGAAGAACUCCGAUUGCGAAGGCAGCUGACGGGAGCGCAACUGACGCUGAAGCUCGAAGGUGCGGGUAUCGAACAGGAUUAGAUACCCUGGCAGUCCGCACAGUAAACGAUGGAUGCCCGCUGUUGGUACCUGGUAUCAGCGGCUAAGCGAAAGCAUUAAGCAUCCCACCUGGGGAGUACGCCGGCAACGGUGAAACUCAAAGGAAUUGACGGGGGCCCGCACAAGCGGAGGAACAUGUGGUUUAAUUCGAUGAUACGCGAGGAACCUUACCCGGGCUUGAA